CGCACUAGCCGGGGAGUUCGCGGUGCCCUGUACCUGCAAUCCGCUUGGCAGGGGUGAAUCCCCACACCCGGACAAUUUGAAUACUGCCGUAUCCGUCUGUGAUGUUGAUGGAGCGGACUUGCGCAACGAAAUGCCGUGAACCAUGUCAGGUGGGGAACCAAGCAGCAUUAAGCGGAUUUUUUCGUGUGCCGCAAGGCGGCCGCUUUGGAGUUGCAGAGCCGGAUGCGUCAG
rnacentral:SRP_RNA from 1 species